rnacentral:rRNA from 1 species
GACGAACGCUGGCGGCGUGCUUAACACAUGCAAGUCGAACGGUAAGGCCCUUCGGGGUACACGAGUGGCGAACGGGUGAGUAACACGUGGGUGAUCUGCCCUGCACUUCGGGAUAAGCCUGGGAAACUGGGUCUAAUACCGGAUAGGACCACUGCCUGCAUGGGUGGUGGUGGAAAGCUUUUGCGGUGUGGGAUGGGCCCGCGGCCUAUCAGCUUGUUGGUGGGGUGAUGGCCUACCAAGGCGACGACGGGUAGCCGGCCUGAGAGGGUGACCGGCCACACUGGGAGUGAGAUACGGCCCAGACUCCUACGGGAGGCAGCAUUGGGGAAUAUUGCACAAUGGGAGCAAGCCUGAUGCAGGGACGCCGCGUGAGGGAUGACGGCCUUCGGGUUGUAAACCUCUUUCAGCACCGACGAAGCGCAAGUGACGGUAGGUGCAGAAGAAGGACCGGCCAACUACGUGCCAGCAGCCGCCGCCG